UGGAUCAAUGAUGGUUUUUCAGUGCGUGUAUGAGUCGUAUACGAUGAAUAUGUGUCUGGAACUCUGAGGUCCAA
ensembl:snoRNA